UACGUAGGGGCCGAGCGUUGUCCGGAGUUAUUGGGCGUAAAGCGCGCGCAGGCGGCCUCGCGCGCCCGACGUGAAAGCCCCGGCUUAACCGGGGAGGGUCGUUGGGGACGGCGGGGCUUGAGGCGGGAGAGGGUGGUGGAAUUCCCGGUGUAGUGGUGAAAUGCGUAGAGAUGUGGAGGAACACCGAUGGCGAAGGCAGCCCCCUGGGCCAAUGACUGACGCUCAUGCACGAAAGCGUGGGGAGCAAACAGG
rnacentral:rRNA from 1 species